ACACGUAGAGGAGUACGUACCUCCGCCGCCAUUGGUAAAUAAAUACUAUCGUUUGUGCAGAGUAAACAGCAUUAGGACCCUCUAAAAUGGCAUGGACAAAGACAUGCUUGCAAGGCACAAUUAAAGCUUUUUGGAAAGCCAGGUUCAUUGCAGAAGAGCAACGUGACGACAAGACAAUGAGAGGGAACUUGGCAUGUUUAAUAGCGAACUUGCCCAACUGUUUAAUUUGGAUACAGCAAAUGAGGACUUGGACAGAUUUGCGUAUGAAUAUCGAGUAACAGUAAUGUGAGUACAGUAGAGUACAUGGUUAAACAGUAGAAUAAAGUACAACCGAACUCACUGUCUUGCUCCCGUGAUGUUUUUUUGUUUACCGUAAAUCAUGGCAUGCAUACGCCCUAUAAUGCGGUGCGCCCUAUGUGUGGAUUAAAUACAAAAUAAACCCCGCAAUUGAGUCUGCACCUUUUAACCUGAAGCGCCUUAUGGUGCAGAAAAUACGGUACUGUAUUGGUCCCUUUGAAUUGUAAAUGUCUUCUUUGUUCAGAUAGGUUAAUAGGCUAGACAUUUAGUGAGAAGAGAUUAAAUCGACUGAUGAAGAUUAAUAAUUGCACAAACUCCAGUUUCAUUUUUUGAUGGACAGCAACAAUAUUAUGAUUAAUUUGUUGAAUAUUUGUCAUGUGAUAUUUAUUUCCAGAUUAGUAGAUUGUUUUAUCAGAAAUCGUGAGAAUAAAGAAGGCAGUUUAAUUUGUAAGAUUGCAGCUGAAUGCCACUUUUAAGAGCCAACAAGAGAGAUCUUUGCAAGAGCAUCGAUGGUUCCUGAUUUCACAGUUUUUGAUUUGAUAUAUACCAGUUUAAUUCGGUUUAGCAGGGAUAUAGCAACCUAGAGAGAUUUAAAUUCAAAAGCAAAAUUUCAUUUUUAAUAUAUAUGUACAUACACAGGCUAACAUGAGGAUGGAAAAGAAAACUAGCUGAAAAAUGGCAUUUCAUCUACAGUUAGUACAAAAUGCUGCGGCGAGACUACUCACACGGAAGAGAAAAUAUGAUCACAUUACCCCAAUAUUAGUCAACUUACAUUGGCUCCCGGUUCAUUUAAGAUGUGACUUCAAGGUUCUUCUAUACCUGAGCCUCUGAGUGUCGCCCAUGUUGGCGUCCGAGGCCUGAACGCAGGUGACAAAGUGUCCCGGCGGCGCCAGCUGGCUGACAAAGGCCUCGUAGAGUGUCCGGCUGAAGUCGGGCGGGUUGUCGUUGGUGUCGGCCACUCCCACCGUGAUGCUGACGAUGCUGCUGAGCGCCGGAUCGCCCCGUUUGUCGCACGCACCACAAAAUUGAAGCGCAGCCUGCGCUCGUAGUCAAGCAGCCGCACCGUCAGCAACAGGCCGCUGUUGUGAUCCAUGUGGAAGUAGUCG